CAAGAAUACUGGAGUGGGCUGCCAUUUCCUUCAGCAGAUCUCCCCCGCGUCUCUCUCAUUGGCAGGCGCACGCUUCUCCACGGAGCCACCAGGGAAGCCGCAGUGCUACUCAAAGUACCAAUCUGCAAUGAGAAUACGGAGAUUGCACCAGAAUGUAAACCAACAUACUUGCUUCCUUCCUCCAGAAGUCUUGCCACAAAAACAAAAUUCUGGAGUUAACUGGCUCUGUGUUGGGAUAGUGGCUCUGUGAUGUCAUCAAGCCCAGGUUUGCUGUCUUCCCACUUGGCCGUCCUUGGCUGUUACUUCAUGGUCUCAGGUUGGUGACUCUGCUGUCAUAUUCAUAUUCCUAUUCCAGGCAGAAAAGAAGGAAGAGAAAAGAGCAACAGGCAUGUAGUAGCUAGUGGUGACCUCUUUUACAGAGUUUUAGCAAAUGGCCCACCAAUGAACUUCCACUCUUUUAUCACUUUGGCCAGAAAACUGAGGCAUGGUCACCUGUUGCAAGAUGGCUAUCUUCUCUCUCGGCUGAGCCACCAGAUAAGACUCUGCCUGACAAUGAAGGAGACACAGAUCUGCUUAUUCUGGACAUUCCCAUAAAUGGAAUCAUACGAUGUGUGGUCUUUUGUGUCUGGAUUCUUUCACUUAAUGUUUUCAAGGUCCUUCCAUGUAAGUCACAUGCAUCAGUACUUUAUUAUUAUUGUUAUUUUACAGGGUGAUAUUUCAUUGUACAAAUCUUGCUUUGACUUCAAGAUAUAAUUACUAUCAGGGAUUUUAUAUUAAUUCCCUGAUUCCUUAGAGAGGAACAGAAAAGCAUCCUGGAAUUCUAGUCCCAACUGUUGACCGUUAUGGACCUCAGUUGUGCAUCUAUAAAAUGGAAAGUUUUUCUUUUAUCCUUUAAGGACCCAGCUUAUAAGAAUCUCCACUGAAUCCCCUGAUUAUACUUUUUCCUGCAAUAAAAGGAAAUUUACCCAUAUUUGUUUCAAUUUUAUCUAAACUAGAUUUUUUCCCCUACAAGACGUAAAGUUUUUUCGCAUGUUCUUUUCUUUUUCAGUUAUUUCAAAAACAAUGAACUGAACUUUCAGAAGCAUCUAAAUGCAUAUAUGGAUCAUUUUGUAAACAACUAGGCUUGGAGACAAAUAAACAAAAAGAAUAAAUGUGAAAAAAUUUAGUUCUCCUGGAAAUGAUUCAAGGAUAAAGAAUAAAUACAACACCUAUUUGUGCCUGUCAGAUGAAGAAAGAGGAUACUGAUUAUUUCAAUCCUCAGUCUUUAAUGAGGGAGAAAUUUAUUCAUGCAAACAUACACGCAGUAAAUGUAUGCCAUUUCUAUUUGUGAGCCCAUAUGGUUCAGAAAUAGAAGAAUCUAGUAGUCAAACCCACCUGCAAAUUCCCCAAUCUACAUAAAAAAGACAAACCACACCCAUCAUGCCUAAUAACAAAUUCUUUUUGCAUCUGGUUUAACUGAGCUUAAAAAAGGAUGCCCUUCUCCUAUUAUAUAAUCUCAUUCCAGAAUCUGUCUCUUUCAUUCAAUUCACCGGGGACUCCGUGGGUGGGAGUUGAGAGUGUAGAUGUCAGAACUGAUUAUCCCACCACUGUGUAUUUUACAGUAGAGAAAAAGACCAAGAGCAGCUGGGUGAGAAGUAAAUAAGUAUGCGAUAUACAUAAAUGAAAAUAAAGGGGUUUGAAAGAAUAUGUAACAAACAUAU